rnacentral:ncRNA from 1 species
UACCUAUAAAGAGAAACCGAGAGAUCAGGCUCUAUGACGUUUCAGCAACCUGCUAAUGCAAGGUGCUCCAUCCUGCCGCAACGGAAAGAUAGGAG